rnacentral:rRNA from 1 species
GACGAACGCUGGCGGCGUGCUUAACACAUGCAAGUCGAACGGAAAGGCCCUGCUUGCAGGGUACUCGAGUGGCGAACGGGUGAGUAACACGUGGGUGAUCUGCCCUGCACUUCGGGAUAAGCCUGGGAAACUGGGUCUAAUACCGGAUAGGAGCCAUUUUUAGUGUGAUGGUUGGAAAGUUUUUUUCGGUGUAGGAUGAGCUCGCGGCCUAUCAGCUUGUUGGUGGGGUAAUGGCCUACCAAGGCGGCGACGGGUAGCCGGCCUGAGAGGGUGGACGGCCACAUUGGGACUGAGAGACGGCCCAGACUCCUACGGGAGGCAGCAGUGGGGAAUAUUGCACAAUGGGCGCAAGCCUGAUGCAGCGACGCCGCGUGGGGGAUGACGGCCUUCGGGUUGUAAACGCCUUUCGCUAGGGACGAAGCUUUUUGUGACGGUACCUAGAUAAGAAGCACCGGCUAACUACGUG